UACGAAGGGUGCAAGCGUUACUCGGAAUUACUGGGCGUAAAGCGUGCGUAGGUGGUUCGUUAAGUCUGAUGUGAAAGCCCUGGGCUCAACCUGGGAAUGGCAUUGGAAACUGGCGACCUAGAGUGCGGUAGAGGGCAGUGGAAUUCCCGGUGUAGCAGUGAAAUGCGUAGAGAUCGGGAGGAACAUCUGUGGCGAAGGCGACUGCCUGGACCAGCACUGACACUGAGGCACGAAAGCGUGGGGAGCAAGCAGG
rnacentral:rRNA from 1 species